GGUAUGGGACUGUAGGUGGAGGUAUAGAGGUAUGGGACUGUAGGUGGAGGUAUAGAGGUAUGGGACUGUAGGUGGAGGUAUAGAGGUAUGGGACUGUAGGUGGAGGUAUAGGACUGUAGGUGGAGGUAUAGAGGUAUGGGACUGUAGGUGGAGGUAUAGAGGUGUGGGACUGUAGGUGGAGGUAUAGAGGUAUAGAGGUAUAGAGGUAUAGAGGUAUGGGACUGUAGGUGGAGGUAUAGAGGUAUGGGACUGUAGGUGGAGGUAUAGAGGUAUGGGACUGUAGGUGGAGGUAUAGAGGUAUGGGACUGUAGGUGGAGGUAUAGAGGUAUGGGACUGUAGGUGGAGGUAUGGGACUGUAGGUGGA
rnacentral:lncRNA from 1 species